CCACUCCUAAACAGAGAACAGGAAAGUCAUGCGCCGAGUGAGAGUUGGAGCAGUGGGCCUCGACGAGGCUCGUGCAGUGUUCCAAAGAGCAAGAAAAGACCCACCAUCCCCCAAGGUGAGCUGAAUCGGCUUGACUUUGACAAAAAUGGAGGAAACCCACCACCCAUAGACAGAGAGCAGGAAACCUAUCCCCCAGCGUGAGAGUUGGAGGAGUGGGCCUCGACGAGUCUUGUGCACUGUUCCAAAGAGCAAGAUAAGACCCACCAUCCCCCAAGGUGAGCUGAAUCGGCUUGACUUUGACAAAAAUGGAGGAAACCCACCACCCAUAGACAGAGAGCAGGAAAGCCAUCCCCCAGCGUGAGAGUUGGAGGAGUGGGCCUU